GCAGUUGCAGGGGACAGAACCUGUGUCUUUGAGAGACCCAGGUAGACACCCUGAUCCGUGUUCUUAGAUCCGUAGCGUUUCCGCGGGAUCAUCGAGUCGCAUAACCUCGGACUGUUGUGGAGAGGAGAAUGUCAUUCUCCAGACAGCCUCUUUCCCCAAAUUCUCCCCUCAACUAGCAAAUCUUCAGGACCUUUCCCGUAUUUGACAGACUUUUGAGACCAAGGGCACCCGCAGAUCCUGAACCCUGGACACGGCGAGAACGGUCAGUUUCCUCCAAGCCCAAGGCGAACAACCUCAGAUUCUCCUUCCAACUUGGCUCUGACUGUCAGAGUACCGGCUGGGGCCCCUAAAGUCGAGCAAACAGCCACAGCCUGGUUCUGCGGCCCUCAACUUCCAGGCAGACCUUUGCAGUUGGCCCAGGUCUCAAUAGUGCCCUCUUGUAUAUGUGAUUUCCUUCACCCUCUCACAGAAAACGGCAACCGACCUCCAGAGGAAGUCCCACCUCCGUCAAAGUUCCGCCUGUUGGAAGACUGCAGCCACUGAUUGGACAGCGCCAAAGUUUUUCCUCAACAAGACCUUUCCUGAUUGGACAGCGAGGUAUUCGCUUACGCAGAGCCGCCAGCAGGACUUGCCCCUGGCUCCCUUCCCCCCCCCCUCGUCAAGCCGCUGCCCGGAGCUGAGCCGACCGACAUAGGCUGGACUCCUACUAAAGCGAAACCCUACCUCUUCUGUUGCCUACCGCUAUCACCACCGCCAAUCUCCCCAGGUCGUUGCCGCCUCCUCGCCGGACUUGUAAGCAGUGGAAGCCGGCCGGACCAAAGAACAGGAGCCGCCACGUCACCUACACGCACCCCUAUCCCGGUGACGUGGCUGCCGCGCCACGCCUCUUUUUUAGCCCAGAGACAGAAAGAACACACCCCUACUCAUGCAAACUCGAUUCCGCUCUCCUAUUGGUUAGACUGCCGCCGCGGCCCCGCCCCUAAAGAGCCAGAACAAAUCUCGAGGGCUGGGUUAGUGGAGCCUUAAAGAGCCUGCAGCCGCAGAGCCUGUAAAGCUGGAAGUCUAGGCAAAAAUGUUUUCAGCAGACUCGCAAUAUUAACUUUAUUCUCUGGAUGUUGGGGAAGACUGACACCAGGAUUGUAUUCAGCCCUUUUCUGGUUCCUUGUGGCUUCCCUCACGUUUGCGUUCCUGCAUCUGAUUGUCCUGCUUGCCUGACCGUGAGGACCCCCGACGGCUGAACAUGGAUAGCCUGCGCCACAGCACGGUGAUCAGAAGACUUUCGUUAGAUCUUUGUUUACGGCGGCCUGGGGAGUCUGCUUCGUUGCCUAUAAGGACCACAGGAUCCACUUAAUUCACUUCUGCUCUCUCAAGCCCCAACUUUGGGGCAGUCCCUUUGGGGCUCCUCCCGCUCCCAUUCCUGAGACCUGUUUUUUGUGUCUAGUCCUACCUUCCUUGCCUUCCUCAGUUACUUCAUCCCUUGCUUGAUCAUCCGAGGUCCGAUGGUCCUUGUCUUGACAGCAGCCCAUGGCCCCGAAAGGCGCAGGACUCUGCCACCCUCCCCUGCCAGCAUAGCUCUGGGCCUGGCUUUUGUGACGUCAGGUCUCCCACAGCCAGGUGAGGGAACCCCUCCCACCUACAAGGUCUCCUUUCUCCCAUCACAAAAGGUCAAGGAUCUCAGUAUGUGUUGGGCUGUUUAUUAACAAAGUGAGCAAGGGGCUUCAAGGACUGGUGGAUCCAGGCCGCUUCUUUUUCUUCCUUCUUUGGAGAGCACCUUGUGUCUGGUCCAAAUCAGGGGGCUUCCGCUUGGCAGCUGCCUCCAAAGAUGCCCAAAGUUCAUCUGUCUCUGUGUCUUCUGGGGGCACUAAGUUGGACUCUUGAGGUUCUUGGGGCUCAUCCUGAUGGUCAAGAAGGACAUUCAGGAGUCAGGGACAGGGAAAGAGAAUGGCUGAAAAGUAAUCCCACUUUGAUCUAGAAACCAAUGCCCCUGUGUUCUGGAGGACUUCACCCUUGGCAAUAUCCUAUAAAGGCUUGAGGAUUCCUCAAAGAAAUUAAGUUACAGUAAAGAGAAAGUCCUGGCCUGUGUUCUAGCUGCCUCCUGUUUUUUCCACAGAGAAUCCCUUGCCAUCAUGCCUUUGGCUCACAAAUUCUCACACCUAGCUAGUUGCUCACCUCCCAGUUAUCCCGGCCUGACAGAAGAAGACAGUUCAGUUGAGACUUGAGAUAAACCUGUAAAAUAAAAGGGGGUUUUGAG